rnacentral:rRNA from 1 species
CCUACGGGAGUCAGCAGUGAGGAAUAUUGGUCAAUGGACGAGAGUCUGAACCAGCCAAGUGGCGUGAAGGAUGACUGCCCUAUGGGUUGUAAACUUCUUUUAUAAAGGAAUAAAACGAGGCACGUGUGCCUUUUUGCAUGUACUUUAUGAAUAAGGAUCGGCUAACUCCGUGCCAGCCGCCGCGGUAAUACGGAGGAUCCGAGCGUUAUCCGGAUUUAUUGGGUUUAAGGGGAGCGUAGAUGGGUUGUUAAGUCAGUUGUGAAAGUUUGCGGCUCAACCGUAAAAUUGCAAUUGAUACUGGCAGUCUUGAGUACAGUUGAGGUAGGCGGAAUUCGUGGUGUAGCGGUGAAAUGCUUAGAUAUCACGAAGAACCCCGAUUGCGAAGGCAGCUUACUAAACUGUGACUGACAUUGAUGCUCGAAAGUGUGGGUAUCAAACAGGAUUAGAUACCCGAGUAGUC